AGACCCGAAACCCGGUGAUCUAGCCAUGGGCAGGUUGAAGGUUGGGUAACACUAACUGGAGGACCGAACCGACUAAUGUUGAAAAAUUAGCGGAUGACCUGUGGCUGGGGGUGAAAGGCCAAUCAAACCGGGAGAUAGCUGGUUCUCCCCGAAAGCUAUUUAGGUAGCGCCUCGUGAAUUCAUCUCCGGGGGUAGAGCACUGUUUCGGCUAGGGGGCCAUCCCGGCUUACCAACCCGAUGCAAACUGCGAAUACCGGAGAAUGUUAUCACGGGAGACACACGGCGGGUGCUAACGUCCGUCGUGAAGAGGGAAACAACCCAGACCGCCAGCUAAGGUCCCAAAGUCAUGGUUAAGUGGGAAACGAUGUGGGAAGGCCCAGACAGCCAGGAUGUUGGCUUAGAAGCAGCCAUCAUUUAAAGAAAGCGUAAUAGCUCACUGGUCGAGUCGGCCUGCGCGGAAGAUGUAACGGGGCUAAACCAUGCACCGAAGCUGCGGCAGCGAACGUAUCACCCAAGACAACUUUACGGAGUUGACGAUUGACGGAGCGAAGCGA
rnacentral:rRNA from 1 species